AGUGAACGCUGGCGGUAGGCCUAACACAUGCAAGUCGAACGGCAGCACAGUAAGAGCUUGCUCUUACGGGUGGCGAGUGGCGGACGGGUGAGGAAUACAUCGGAAUUUACUUUUUCGUGGGGGAUAACGUAGGGAAACUUACGCUAAUACCGCAUACGACCUACGGGUGAAAGCAGGGGAUCUUCGGACCUUGCGCGAUUGAAUGAGCCGAUGUCGGAUUAGCUAGUUGGCGGGGUAAAGGCCCACCAAGGCGACGAUCCGUAGCUGGUCUGAGAGGAUGAUCAGCCACACUGGAGCUGAGACACGGUCCAGACUCCUACGGGAGGAAGCAGUGGGGAAUAUUGGACAAGGGGCGCAAGCCUGAUCCAGCCAUACCGCGUGGGUGAAGAAGGCCUUCGGGUUGUAAAGCCCUUUUGUUGGGAAAGAAAAGCAGCAGGUUAAUACCCCGCUGUUCUGACGGUACCCAAAGAAUAAGCACCGGCUAACUUCGUG
rnacentral:rRNA from 1 species